CCCCCAUCCUUUCCUUUUCUCGCUCUGAGCUCAUUUCCUACAACCCUAUCAAAUUCGAGAGACUUCUCUCUCAUUUCCUAUCAAAUUCGAGAGACUUCUCUCUCCAUUUCUCUCAAUCUAGCCCCAGCGCUGCUCACCCCAUUCCUCUUCAUCAUCUCAGUUAAAUCCGUUGAACAAUCACUGAUGCACCUCCACGCGAACCCAUAUCGAAUUUUCCUCCUGCCCACGAACCAACCUCCAUUUCGUGGAUCCACCGUCCUUGCAAGUCGCCGACACCCACAAAUGAACUCAGAUACGACCAUCAAAAGUAGGGCGGAGCUCUCGAAGAUGUCAGAUUUGAGAAGGGAAAACGUAAAGUUUUGUACUUUAGUGUUUGAUGCUGAAGUAGAUUGAAUUUUCCCUCUCUCCGAUCAAAUUCUUCUCCUUUCCAAAUUUUCUGCUCAAAUCUAAAAAAUUCCAGGAGCGGAGCGGAAUUUAAAAUGAGCGAGCUCUGCUUCUAGGCCUCCCCGAAAAGCUUGCAGAAAGAUAGGUGCUUGGAUGGGAGUGGACGUAGGAGCAGGGAGUGUUGCGAGGAGGGGAAUUAGUACCAUCAUCUGCUGUGUUGCAGUAGUGAAGUGAUCAGACAUCGGUAUGGCAUCUGCUGGCCUAGGGAAUGGUGGAGUUGGCAGUUCAAGGUAUGUUAGACAAUAAAUAUGGCAUAAGUGAUGAGGCAUUUUCCCUCUCUGCAAGUGUUAACCUCACCCUGUAUGGGAUUAUGAAAAGGAGGGGUUUUCUUUUGCUUUGCGUUGCAAGGGAUAGAUGGAGACUUAAUUUACUAUAUUAGCCUUAUGAGUUUACGGACCUUCUAAUAUUUCAUAGCGGGCCUAGAAUUGAUUUUCCGAGAACGGGAAACGUAAUUGACUUUAUAUAUUUGAUGAAGCUUGAAGUAGCUUCUACCAGACAACCCCUCAUUUCUUUAUGGUAAUUGAGCUUCAUCUCUAAUUAUUUAUUGUCUGAUUAGAUUAUUAUAAUAUUUGGGUUGUUGGAUAUGUUGGAUUUGAAUUGAUUUUUUGUUUUCAUUUUUCAUGGUGAUGGAUUUUCGAAUGAAAUGCACUCAACCUGAAUUCCAGUGGGGGUGGCUGAAGCAGCUGCCGGAUAUGACUUAUGGCAGCCAAGGUUCCCUUAUUGUCAUGCUUUUAGUUUUAUUAAAUAUGACAAGUUGAUAUAAAUAUAUAUGUACAUAGAGAACUUACAUCUCUUGAUAGAUUGUGUUGCUAGAUAGUUUUUCACGUUCCUGCUCAAAAUAAAGUUUAUCAUGUUAUUCUGUCCAACUAUUGAUUUGGAACAACGUUAUGUAAAUACUUUAUUCUGUCCAACUAUUGAUUUGGAACAACGUUAUGUAAAUGCUUUUCACACACCAUACUUAUAACACAUUAGUCCUGUAUUUGAAGACUUAUAUACAAUACUUAUAAUUCGGAUGAAGAGAUCCUGAUCUUUGUUUUUGGGAGUUUUUUUACGCUCUGCUUUUUGAGCGAAUCUUUGUUUAUCAUUUUUUAUCAUAACACGGUCAUAUGGUGUUACUGUCCGUCCUUUUAGUUAUUAAAAUCUGCUUUUUUGAGUUGUACAUAGAACUCUUAACGUAGAAUUAGUAAAAUGCAGGUGCAGAAUGAACGACUAAUCAAUGUGAGAGAAGCUUUUAAAUUUUUUGGGUUCAAUUUUAAAUGGGUUGUUAUCAACCAUUGAAUUGCUUUUGGAGUUUUCAUUUGAUAAGAGAGAUGGGGGAUUCUUUUGGGUGAAACUUUUAAUCCGUGAGAUUUUUAGUUAGGUUGUGUUGUCGGUUUUUGCAAAUUUCUACCGUGUUUAUGCAUGCAUUUUUUGUUAUAGAUUUGGAGGAAAAUAGCAUUACAGGGUGUUGAGGGUUUGUUGGUGGGGGAAGGCAGCAGCGUUAAGAUUUUGCAGGUGAGAUAUUAGGGUGAGAGAAAAAGGGGACAAAGAGCAUCGAAGACACAUUUGGGAUUAGGGGUAGCAAAACAGGGGAAAAGAAUAUGACAGAGGAAUGGACUCUUAAUUUUUUUCUUAACUGGUUUGGGAUUUUUCUUGCCUUUGGGGUCGUCAUUGGCGUCAAGCAUUUGGUGUCAAGCGGUGUCUGUUUUUUUCAUAAUUUUUAUGUCGUUUGCGAUUUUCUAUCCUAGGAUUUUUGAAUUUUAUCGUUCAGGUUUUUAAAAUUUUUUUUGUCUUCGUUUGUUUGUUUUAUAUGUUGUGUUUGUGCUGGGACGCCGUUUUGCAAGUUCUCUUUCCAUUGGGACCGCUGCAUUUUUAAAGUGUUGAGGGGGAUCACUACAGUUUGGGAGUCAAAAUCACCACACUACCCCAUCAAGGGUUCAGAUCUUGCUGUCAGGUGAUAUGAGAGAGGGGGUUGGAUGGUAAUUUUGUCCGUAGGAUUUCAGACGGAUUGGGAUGGGGUAGGGACUUUGUUCAUUUAGUUUAUUUCUGUGUGUGUGUGUGUGUGUGAGAGAGAGAGAGAGAGAGAGAGAGAGAGAGAGAGGGGAAGAGGGAGGGGUGAGGAUGUCUGUGUCGAUCUUUGAUUCAGUGAGUGAGAGUAUGACGGUGAAACAGAGGGGGAUCAUCGGGAUUUCAGGGAGAAAAACACAGAGAGAGGGGUGAUGGUGAACAGGCGCGAGUAUGGUCCCUUAGUCCGGGAUUCACUCUUCAUCGUCCAUACUCUAUUGCAUGCUCAGAUAAGUGUCUUUUUCAAUUACAUUUUGUACUAAAAUCUCUGUUUUUUUUAUUGUUUCUUGCAUUUAUAUCUGCGUGAAUGUGGUGAUUGAAAAGCCCAAAAACAAAUUUUCCAAAUCUUUUUGUACUGUUUUGUUAUGUUAGGCAGCAUGGUUUUUGGUUUUUAAUUUUUUUGUUUUUAUUUUUAUUUUUUUAAUCAGUUGGGGGAUUUUCUGGGCGUCUAUUUAUUUGUUUGCCCUUUGGUUUGUUUUUCAUUCUGGGUUCCCCUCUUUCAUUAGAGAGUACAAAAAUUCCAAAGGUAAACAUCCAUUCCCUUGCUUCCCUUUUCUGUCCAUAACCAAGAAUCGGUGAAAUAAGUGUGGUUCUUGGAUCUGCGGUCUGAAACAAAAAAAUAUGUCUAUUCUCUGUUCCAGCUAAUGUAUCUGUGAUUUCUUUGCAGGACGCUACUGCAACACUCAAGUCCGUUUGGAAAAUGGAGAGCACACGACUUAAGUAUCUCGGGCACAAGGUAAAAUGUACCCUUUACUAAUGUAUGCAUCCAUGCACUAGAUCUGUGAAUUUUAAUUAUGCAUGUGCACUCUCUGUGCCAAAAGUUUUUAGAUCCGAAGCGGUCAUGAUGCUAAGUUAGGAAGGUUAAUUUUGUCCUACGGUUUUGGGACGGAUUGGGAUGGGUCUAGGUGGCUGUCAUUCGAUGAGGGUUUGGUGAAUGAGAGCCAUGCCGCCUUUGCAUAGAGAGAGAGGGAGUAGUAGGUCAUGUUUUAUUGUCUUCACUGCACCAUUAGUUUGAUUGCCUAUCCCUGUGUAUUUGAUAUUGUCUGGAAGAUCACUUCUAAUUCCUAUAAUAAUCAGAUACUCAAUCUUCAAUCCUGCUUAGUAGCAGUGAUCACCACCUGUUUCAUGAAAGGUACACGUGAAAUAGUUGUUAAUAUUUGGGGACCAACAGAGCUCCUUAUUUUGGGGGUUUGUUUAUGUUUUUGGCAGGAGAACGAUUUGGAGCAAGUGACUCAAAAAGUUAAACUUCGAUAUCAAAAUUAAUGGAAACCCGUUCGUAUGAUUUCUUCAUCUGAAAUUUUUGAUUGCCCAAUUGGUUGUUUCAUCAAUUAAUUGUAUGCAAACAUUUAUGUGUAAUUUUUUACUUCUUCCACUUAAAUGGUAAGAUCAAGUUAAGCUAAGAACUUUGGGUUUUGUAAAUGUUGUGUAAUUAAAUUAUUCAUAUUAUCAAUUAAUUUUGAGCAAACAUUUCUGGGUA